rnacentral:rRNA from 1 species
ACGGGAUGCGGAGGGGGCGCCCUUCCUGGCAGCCGCCGAGGCGGCGGGUGGGCCCCGAUAGGCGAGAGAGAGGCAGAGGCCUAUUGCGAACCCAUCGACCUCAGAUCGGGCGAGAUGACCCACUCGACCUAAGCAUAUCACUAAGGGGAGGAAAAGAAACUAACCAAAAUUCCCCCAGUAGCUGCGAGCGAAGCGGGAAGAGCCCAGCGCCGAAUCUCCGGGCCCCCAGCGGGCAUGCGGGAACUGUGGCGUGAGGAAGUCCGGUCCGGCUGUCGCGGCGGGGCCGAGGUACUUCUGAUCGAGGUCCCCCGUCCUCCCAUGGCGGGUGUCAGGCCCCUGCGGGCGCCGUCCGGCCGGUGACUAGGGCUUCUGGGAGUCGGAUUGUUUUGUAGCGCAGCCCAAAGGCGGGUGGUAAACUCCAUCCAAGGCUAAAUACCGGCAGGAGACCGAUAGAGCACAAGUACCGUGAGGGAAAGUUGAAAAGCACAAAGGCCAGGGAGAUUCAGCGCGGCCGGCGCGGUGUCCGAAGCACCCCCCUAGCCGGGGUCUGGGGGCGCCUCCGCGCCCGGCAGCGUGCACUUCUCCCGGGCGCGGCGCCCGUGACAGGCUGGGCAUCCGGGCCCGCAUAGGCCGGCCUGUUGGGGUUCCACCGGCCACCCCGGUUCCCCCGACCGCGGGGGGGGGGCGGUCGGAGAGCCUAGAGACCGGCCGUGGUCGCGCCGGCCGCCUGGCCGAGGAAGGGACGACGGGCCGCGCCCGNGAUAGGGUUAGGUUUAGGGUUAGAAAGAGGGUUAGGGUUACGGAUAGGGUUAGGCUUAGGGUUAGAGAUAGGGUAAGGGUUACGGAUAGGGUUAGUGGUAGGGUUAGGGUUAGGGUUAGGGGUAGGGUUAGAGAAAGGGUUAGGGGUAGGGUUAGAGAUAGGGUUAGGGUAACGGAUAGGGUUAGAGGUUGGGUUAGGGUUAGAUAUAGGGUUACGGAUAGGGUUAGGAGUAGGGUUAGGGUUAGAGAUAGGGUUAGGGUUACGGAUAGGGCUAGGGUUAGAGAAAGGGUUAGGGGUAAGGUUAGUGUCUCCCCCCCCCCCGCCGGACCGUGGGGCCGUACGCGCGGGUAAACUGCGGGAUUAACUAUGACCCUCUUAAGGUAGCCAAAUGCCUCGGCACCUAAUUAGCUACGCGCAUGAAUGGAUUAACGAGAUUCCCACUGUCCCAAUCUACUCUCUAGCAAAACUACAGCCAAGGGAACGGGCUUGGCAGAAUCAGCGGAGAAAGAAGACCCUGUUGAAUCUGACUCUAGUCUGACCUUGUGAAGAGACACAGGGGUGUAGGAUAGGUGGGAGGGCCAAAGCCCGACGGUGAAAUACCAUUACUCUUGUCGUUUCUUUACUUAGCCGGUUGGGCGGGGAGCAGGCCCCGCGAGGGCCCAGUCUUCUGGCGCUAUGCGGCCGGCCGCCACCCGCUCUGGCGACAGCGUCAGGCGGAGAGUUUGACUUGGGAGGUACAUCUGUCAAAGGGUAUCGCAGUUGUCCUAAGGCGAGCUCAGCGAGAACAGAAAACCCCUUGCGGAGCAAAAGGGCCAAAACUUGUUUGAUUUUGAUUUUCAGUAUGAAUAUCGACCGUCAAAGUGUGGCCUAUUGAUCCUUUUGAGCUUCGGAGUUUGAAGCAAGAGGUGUCAGAAAAGUUACCACAGGGAUAACUGGCUUGUGGAAGCCAAACGUGCAUACCGACGUUGCUUUUUGAACCUUCGAUGUCGGCUCUUCCUAUCAUUGCGAAGCAGAAUUCGCCAAGCGUUGGAUUAUUCACCCGUUAAUAGCAAACGUGAGCUGGGCUUAGACCGUCGUGAGACAGGUUGGUUUUACCCUUCUGAUGAGAGGUCGCCCCCACGGCAGUCCUGCUCAAUACGAGAGGAGCUGCAGAUUCGGACCCUGAUUCUGGUGCUCAGGGAGAAACCGGUGGUGCGAGGCUACCACCCGAGAGAUUACGGCUGAAUGCCUCCAAGUCGAAAUCUCUGCCGGUGCGCGGCUACGCCGCCGGCGUACCGCACGAGGGCAGCCCGCAUCAGCGCCCACCCGCUCUUGC